GCCCAAUAAAACUUUAUGCCGGGAAGGGUUUAUGUUCAAAAUGAUUUACCGCCGAAGGAGGGGACUGCGGCCAAUCUUUUUGUUGGGGAGGUAAGGCCCCACCAAAAUAAUAACAGGUCCGGGUUCUAAAAGAAGUACCCCGAAGAUGGUUACUGAAAAACGGACCCAGGCCCUAUGGGGCCCAGCAGGAAAAAAAAUUUUGCAUGGUGCAAAAGAACAACAAGGUUAAUCCAAUUGUUUUCUGCUAAAAAAACUUUUUGUCAUUCCAAAAAACAUUGAUAAAUAAGGGGGGGGCAAUUUCUGGUGCCACCCGCCGCGGAAAAACCACCCCCUCAGGUGGUCAGGAUAAUUAUGGGCCCUAAACCAUCCGUAGCCGGUUCUGUAAUUUUUCGGUUAAAUCUGUCCCCUCAACGAACAGGCUGCCGGAAAUACUGCAAAGCUAGGGAGUGGAAAAGGUAAACGGUACUCGGAAGGAAGGGAAAAAAUCUUUUGAUUUAUUGAUAACCACUGGUGGCGAAGGCGGUCUACAAAAACCCGUCCAACGGGGAGGAAUAAAAGCUGGGGAACCAAACCGAAUUAAAUACCCGGUUACCCCCAGCU
rnacentral:rRNA from 1 species